CUCAAACCUCAAUCACACACGGGCAGCCACACACACACACACACACACACACAUAGUCAGAGAUAAAUAUAGAUUGGCUUUUCCUUUAACACGGAGGUGACAGCUUUGAGAGGUCAGGCUGCUUAUGUGUAUGCAUGUGUG